UGAACGCUGGCGGCAUGCCUUACACAUGCAAGUCGAACGGCAGCACGGGUGCUUGCACCUGGUGGCGAGUGGCGAACGGGUGAGUAAUACAUCGGAACAUGUCCUGUAGUGGGGGAUAGCCCGGCGAAAGCCGGAUUAAUACCGCAUACGAUCUACGGAUGAAAGCGGGGGACCUUCGGGCCUCGCGCUAUAGGGUUGGCCGAUGGCUGAUUAGCUAGUUGGUGGGGUAAAGGCCUACCAAGGCGACGAUCAGUAGCUGGUCUGAGAGGACGACCAGCCACACUGGGACUGAGACACGGCCCAGACUCCUACGGGAGGCAGCAGUGGGGAAUUUUGGACAAUGGGCGAAAGCCUGAUCCAGCAAUGCCGCGUGUGUGAAGAAGGCCUUCGGGUUGUAAAGCACUUUUGUCCGGAAAGAAAUCCUUGGCUCUAAUACAGUCGGGGGAUGACGGUACCGGAAGAAUAAGCACCGGCUAACUACGUGCCAGCAGCCGCGGUAAUACGUAGGGUGCGAGCGUUAAUCGGAAUUACUGGGCGUAAAGCGUGCACAGGCGGUUUGCUAAGACCGAUGUGAAAUCCCCGGGCUCAACCUGGGAACUGCAUUGGUGACUGGCAGGCUAGAGUAUGGCAGAGGGGGGUAGAAUUCCACGUGUAGCAGUGAAAUGCGUAGAGAUGUGGAGGAAUACCGAUGGCGAAGGCAGCCCCCUGGGCCAAUACUGACGCUCAUGCACGAAAGCGUGGGGAGCAAACAGGAUUAGAUACCCCGGUAGUCCACGCCCUAAACGAUGUCAACUAGUUGUUGGGGAUUCAUUUCCUUAGUAACGUAGCUAACGCGUGAAGUUGACCGCCUGGGGAGUACGGUCGCAAGAUUAAAACUCAAAGGAAUUGACGGGGACCCGCACAAGCGGUGGAUGAUGUGGAUUAAUUCGAUGCAACGCGAAAAACCUUACCUACCCUUGACAUGGUCGGAAUCCCGCUGAGAGGUGGGAGUGCUCGAAAGAGAACCGGCGCACAGGUGCUGCAUGGCUGUCGUCAGCUCGUGUCGUGAGAUGUUGGGUUAAGUCCCGCAACGAGCGCAACCCUUGUCCUUAGUUGCUACGCAAGAGCACUCUAAGGAGACUGCCGGUGACAAACCGGAGGAAGGUGGGGAUGACGUCAAGUCCUCAUGGCCCUUAUGGGUAGGGCUUCACACGUCAUACAAUGGUCGGAACAGAGGGUUGCCAACCCGCGAGGGGGAGCUAAUCCCAGAAAACCGAUCGUAGUCCGGAUUGCACUCUGCAACUCGAGUGCAUGAAGCUGGAAUCGCUAGUAAUCGCGGAUCAGCAUGCCGCGGUGAAUACGUUCCCGGGUCUUGUACUCACCGCC
rnacentral:rRNA from 1 species